GGAAAAGUGAUAAGUUCCAACAUUUGAGACAUUUUAUGCUGAAAAUAUCUAGUAUCUGAAACAAACUGGGUGAAGGGAAAAAUGUUCUGUUGGCCAAGGAUUUCUGGGAUCCUACAGAUCUUUCCUCUAAUUUUUGGAUGCCACUAAAUUUUGUGAUUCAUAUCCAGAAAGCCCAGCUCUGAUAGGCCAGAAAUAUUAGAACCAAAUACAAAUAGUUUGCCACACAUCUUCUCCUUCCAUAGGUUUAGAGCUUUGAUUCUGUUUUGCUUCAGAAGCAGUUCAGGUCAUAGUCAAUGGACACAAAGAAGAUGCAUCUUCAAACCAGGAUAUGAUUGGGAAGACUAAAGACUUGCAAUUCUCCAGAGAACACUUAAGAUCAAUCCUCUUAGCAAUUCUCAAGUGUAUAAUACAGCAUCGUUAAUGGUAAUCACUGCACUAUGUAUUAGAUCUCCAGAGCUCAUUCAUCUUGUGUAACUGAAACUUGGGACUCUUUGAUCAACAACUUCCCAUUUCCUGCCAUCCCACUCCAUCCCCAUCCCUGGCAACCACAACUCUACUCUCUGCUUCUGUGAGUUUGCCUAUGUUGGAUUCUACAUGUAAGUGAGCUCAUGCACUAUUAUUUUUUCUAGGUCUGGCUUACUUCACAUAGUAUAAUAUCCUCUGGUUCACCCAUGUUGUUGUUGUUGUGUGUGUGUGUGUGUGUGUGUGUGUGUGUGUGUAUACCACAAUUUUUUUUACUCAUUCAUCUAUUGAGAGACAUUUAGGUUAUUUCCAUAUCUUGGUUAUUUUGAAUAAUGUUGCAUUAACAUAAGGGCGCAGAUACCUCCUUGAGAUCUGGAUUUUAUUUCCUUUGUUUAUAUUCCCAGAAGUGGUAUUGCUGGGUCAUAUGAUAGUUGUAUUUUUAAUUUUUUGAGGUAUCUCCAUACCACUUUCCAUAAUGGCUGUACUAAUUUGCAUUUCC
rnacentral:lncRNA from 10 species